GCUCGCAGCGGAGGAAGAGAUAACCAUGAGUCUACCCCUAGUAACGGCGAGUGAAGAGGGAAAAGCUCAAAGUUGGAACCUGGCUGCCCUAGGCAGUCCGGAUUGUAAACUAAAGAGCGUGAUUCCAGGCAAGCCGGUUGAUCAAGUCCUUUGGAAUGAGGCGCCACUGAGGGUGAGAGCCCCGUAAGUCGACUGAGCAUUUGUCUUUUGUGUUUCGCGUUCAAAGAGUCAGGUUGUUUGGGAAUGCAGCCUAAAGCUGGUGGUAAAUCCCACCUAAAGCUAAAUACAGGCGAGAGACCGAUAGCGAACAAGUACCGUGAGGGAAAGAUGAAAAGAACUUUGGAAAGAGAGUUUUUUCGUAGGGGAACCUGCCUUUCCCGAAAGGUUCGUGUUCUCAAUUAGUUGACUGUAAUUAGGCUUUGGGGGAGUUACACCCCAUUUUUGAGCCUUCCCCCAAAAGACUUUUGGGAAACCACGGAGGGGGCUCCCUCCGCUAUUCGGGCCCUCACAAAGAAGGCCGGGUUCGAGGAGAUAUUUAAUAUUUUACUGGGGGACACCGGGGGUGAAAUUACAUGGUCUC
rnacentral:rRNA from 1 species